rnacentral:rRNA from 1 species
CCUACGGGAGGCAGCAGUGGGGAAUAUUGCGCAAUGGGCGAAAGCCUGACGCAGCGACGCCGCGUGAGGGAUGAAGGUCUUCGGAUCGUAAACCUCUGUCAGCAGGGAAGAACGGUCACUGUGCUAAUCAGCAGUGAAUUGACGGUACCUGCAAAGGAAGCACCGGCUAACUCCGUGCCAGCAGCCGCGGUAAUACGGAGGGUGCGAGCGUUAAUCGGAAUUACUGGGCGUAAAGCGCUCGUAGGCGGUAUGUCAAGUCAAGGGUGAAAUCCCCGCGCUCAACGUGGGAACUGCCUUUGAAACUGGCAAACUGGAGUGUGUGAGAGGAUAGUGGAAUUCCAGGUGUAGGAGUGAAAUGCGUAGAUAUCUGGAAGAACAUCAGUGGCGAAGGCGACUAUCUGGCACAUAACUGACGCUGAGGAGCGAAAGCGUGGGUAGCAAACAGGAUUAGAUACCCCAGUAGUC